UACAGAGGUCCCAAGCGUUGUUCGGAUUCACUGGGCGUAAAGGGUGCGUAGGUGGUGAGGUAAGUCGGAUGUGAAAUCUCCGAGCUCAACUCGGAAAAUGCAUUGGAAACUACCUUGCUAGAGGGUUGGAGGGGGGACUGGAAUACUUGGUGUAGCAGUGAAAUGCGUAGAUAUCAAGUGGAACACCAGUGGCGAAGGCGAGUCCCUGGACAACACCUGACACUGAGGCACGAAAGCUAGGGGAGCAAACAGG
rnacentral:rRNA from 1 species